CGAGUUCCCAUACGAUCACCUAUGUUAAGUAACGUUGAGCCUGAUCAGUACCUAGAUGGAUAACCGCUUGGGAAUACCAGGUGCUGUAAG